AUUGAACGCUGGCGGCAGGCCUAACACAUGCAAGUCGAACGAGUGGCGGACGGGUGAGUAAUGUCUGGGAAACUGCCCGAUGGAGGGGGUUAACUACUGGAAACGGAAGCUAAUCCCGCAUACCAUCGGAGUGCCCCGGAUGGGAUUAGCUAGUAGGUGGGGUAAGGGCUCACCGAGGCGACGAUCCCUAGCUGGUCUGAGAGGAUGACCAGCCACACUGGAACUGAGACACGGUCCAGACUCCUACGGGAGGCAGCAGUGGGGAAUAUUGCACAAUGGGCGCAAGCCUGAUGCAGCCAUGCCGCGUGUAUGAAGAAGGCCUUCGGGUUGUAAAGUACUUUCAGCGGGGAGGCGUUACCCGCAGAAGAAGCACCGGCUAACUCCGUGCCAGCAGCCGCGGUAAUUC
rnacentral:rRNA from 1 species